CACGCACUGAGGCCUCCGGGAGCCCUGCAAUCCCCUAGACCCCUUACGCCCGCGCCUGCACUUUCCCACUCUCGUUGUGUGUCCUGCUCUCUGCCAUCCCCCACCCCGACCCCCAGCGCAGCGGCGCAGGCCCCCAGUCUCUCCCCUUCUCCUCAACAAUUCAAGGUCACAGCCUGGGGUUCCUGAGGAGAGUCUAGAGCCCCCCCGCCGCCCUAUUCAACGAUGAAAAUGACGAGUUGGGAGUGGCG
rnacentral:lncRNA from 1 species